AUCUAUAAACUUUUAAGAAAUAUAAGUAUAAUUGAUACGAAAUAAAAAUUUAUACAUAAAUUUAUGUAAGUAUAUAAAGAGACUAUUAGGAAAUACUAGCUAUGUAUUAAAGAGAUAUAAGUUUAUUCCAUUAAUAAGAAUAAUCAACUCUAAGAGAAAUCAGAUAAUAAACGAAGUGAAUUGAAUUAUCUUAUUAGCUUCAGGAAAAGAAAUCAAAAGAGAUUCUAUGAUUAGCGUGAGCCAAAAUAGAAAAGUAUAAAUAAUAAGUAAAACUACCUUAAAGUUGUUUGAACAUAAUGGGGAACCUUCCUCAAAGACUAAAUAUAAUACAUAAGCGAUAGUGAAAAAGUACCGUGAGGGAAAUGUAAGUAGAAUUAGUAGUUUUAUAAGCAGCUCGAGUGAAAACAAGAGCGUACCUUUUGCAUAAUGGGUCACCAAGUUAAUUUUAGAUGCGAGCUAACGCGUAGUUAAACCGGUCAUGAAAAUAAUGAAUAGUAUCUAAAUUUAGACCCGAAGUACAGUGAUCUUACCAUAGUCAGGAUUAUAAAGGUCCGAACGGGUUAUCGUUGCAAAGAUAUCCGAAGAACUGUGGUAAGUAUAGUGAAAGACAAUCCGUGACUGUAUUAGCUGGUUUUCUGCGAAACCUAUAAUAGUAGGCAGUUUAAUUUACAUCUUUACAGGUACAGAACUUAAUCUCAGACAAGAUGUAUGUAAAAAUACAUUUUAUUUUGUAUAGAUCGGGGGAUCAUGAAGAUUUUACCGGUGAGUUUGUGGACUCGAAAUGGUAAAGAUGAAUGUUAAACUAUCAGACAUAGAAUGAUAAGGUUGUAUGUCAAAAGGGAAACAGCCCAGAACAAGAGUUAAGGUUCCAAAAUUAUUAUUAAGUGAAAUUAAGAAGGUUUCUAUCAAAGUCGACAAGGAGAUUGGCUUAGAAGCAGCCAUAAUUUAAAGACCUCGUAUCAGAGCACUUGUUAAAUGUCAAAAAGCGUCGAAAAUUUAACGGAUCUAAAUAAUAUACCGAUACCUUGUCUAUAAAUAAUUAUAAAAAUAAUAGUUAUUUAUAGGGUAGCAGAACGUUGAGUUAAUCUUAGUGUUUUCUUUUAUAAAGAAUAUGAUAUGAUAACUCAAGUGAGAAUGGUGACAUGAGUAACGAAAAAGAAUUUUUUAAAUGUAAUUUUUAGAUUUAAAAAACCUCGCCUAAAGCUUAUGGUUACUAUAAGUAACGGCCUCUAAGUAUAUAACCUGAAGGUUAAUACGAUGAGAAAAUCUUCUUACUAAGGACAACAUUUUUAAGUGUAAAGUGUGCAGGAAAUAAUUAGUAAGUGUAUUUAAAUAAUACAAUAACCGUUCCUAGGAACUACAACAAGUAAGCUAGUAGAGAAUACGAAGGCGCAUGAGAUAACAAUCUUAAAGGAACUCGGCAAACUAACUACCGUAACUUCGGGAUAAGGAGGGCUCAUUUAUCUUGAUUAAUAUCAAGUAUAGAGGAAGAAUCAUAAAAUAGUGUUGUACGACUGUUUAAUUAAAACAAAGCACUCUGCCAAAGAUGAUAAAUCUAAGUAUAGAGUGUGAUAUCUGCCCAAUGCCGGUAGGUUAAGGUAAUAAUCUAAAUGUAAAAAGUUUGGUAUAUUAAGAACCCCCGGUCAAUGGCGGCCUUAAUGUGAGGGUCCUAAGGUAGCGAAAUGCCUUGGCCGUUAAAUGCGGUCUUGCAUGAAUGAUGUAACGAUACAACAGCUGUCUCUAAGAUUGACUCAGUGAAAUUGGAAUAACAGUGCAGAUACUGUUUACCUCUAGGUAGACGAGAAGACCCUAUGCAGCUUUACUGUUACUAAUUAUUGGAUAUAAUUCAUUCAACUUUUAGUUUAGAAGGUUUAUCGAUUUGAUAAAAGUGAAAGACCUUUAUUUGUUUCUUAUAUUAUAAACCCUUUUAGGCGGCUACAUAAUUUCAGGUAAAACCGCCGGGAACAGUGAUUAGAAGACAGUUUAUGUGGGGCACAGACCCCUUAAAGAGUAAAAGGGUGUAUCUAAAAAUAUAACUGAUAUAUAAGUUUAUUUUAUUUUUUAUUGUUUGUGAUUUUUUUUUAACUUUGUUAUAUUUAAUCCUAUAUUAUUGUGUAUAAAUAUUUACAUGUUGUUAGGUAAGAUUUUCCCUAUUGAGAAAUUAGUUGUAUAUUAAGAUAUUAUAUAAUAUCUUUAGUUAUUAUGAUUUUAAUCAUUAAUAAUAAUGUUUUAUACUUAUCAAGUUGAAUGGCUUAAUCUUGCUUUACUGUUUGAUUCACAACAAAUCUUACAGUCGCGUAAGCGGAGCAUUGGAUCACAAGAUACAAUAAGGAAAGGUCUUGGAUUAUUGGAAAAGCUACGCUAGGGAUAACAGGCUAAUUUGCGCAAGAGUGUGCAUAAUGAGUGCGCGGUUUGGCACCUCGAUGUCGGCUUAACUUAUCCUCAUGGAUGCAGAAACUAUGUAGGGUACGACUGUUCGUCGAUUAAAAAGUUACAUGAGCUGGGUUAAAUACGUCGUGAGACAGUAUGGUUUCUAUCUUCUAGAGGGAAUUAGAAUAUAAUAAGGAUUAACCUUGUACGAAAGGAACAUGGGCAACGCUUUAUUUCGAACAGGAAUAGGGUUUUAUUAACCUCUGGUUUAUCUGUUGUUUAUGUGCCCAAUUAUUAAUUUAAGUAUAAUAGUAAUAUUAUACAGGGAUGUUACUUUCACUUAGGUAAAUGUAUAACAUAGGCAUGGCAGAAAAGCUAAGUUAGUCAGAGAUAAGUGCUGAAAGCAUAUAGGUACGAAGCUCACCUUAAGAUAUUUCUUAAAUAUACGUAAAAGAAUAUUACGUGAUAGGCUUAGUUUGUAAUAAUUUAGAGAUUUUUAGAUACUAAGUACUAAUUUUAUAAUUAACUGAAUAUUUAUCGUAUCU
rnacentral:rRNA from 1 species